rnacentral:rRNA from 1 species
GACGAACGCUGGCGGCGUGCUUAACACAUGCAAGUCGAACGGAAAGGCCCUGCUUUUGUGGGGUGCUCGAGUGGCGAACGGGUGAGUAACACGUGAGUAACCUGCCCUUGACUUUGGGAUAACUUCAGGAAACUGGGGCUAAUACCGGAUAGGAGCUCCUGCUGCAUGGUGGGGGUUGGAAAGUUUCGGCGGUUGGGGCUGGACUCGCGGCUUAUCAGCUUGUUGGUGGGGUAGUGGCUUACCAAGGCUUUGACGGGUAGCCGGCCUGAGAGGGUGACCGGCCACAUUGGGACUGAGAUACGGCCCAGACUCCUACGGGAGGCAGCAGUGGGGAAUAUUGCACAAUGGGCGGAAGCCUGAUGCAGCAACGCCGCGUGCGGGAUGACGGCCUUCGGGUUGUAAACCGCUUUCGCCUGUGACGAAGCGUGAGUGACGGUAAUGGGUAAAGAAGCACCGGCUAACUAUGUG